ACGGCCCUCGCGGGCCGACAGACCCGCCACACCGCUGACCGCCCGCUCGGACACGGACACCGGCACCGCGCUCCCCGACACCCCGAGGGAACGCGCCGCCCGCCCGGCCCUGCCCCGGCUCCCCCGGAGAGGGCGAGCUGCGGCCCCGCGAUGAACAUCGGCCGCCGCAGAACCCCGGGCGCGGGGCAGACCUGCCCCGCCGUGCCAGGGAAGAUGCCCGGCUCUGCCACAGAAGUGAUAAGGGAAAAGCCUGGUGCCACCUGCAAAUACAGCUCUAGAAUAGGCACCUGCGGCUCCUGUCCCCGCCUGAGGAUCUCCGAGGAGCAGCCCAGAGGACGGAGCAGAGGGGCCCUGGUGGCACGGCCCGGGACGUGCUGACGGACAACAACAACGGGAAUUCUCUUGUCGGCACUGCAACCCCAACAGCAUCCUCCUGCCUGCCUUUGGGGGAAGGUUGUUCCCGUCCCCGUCUUUCUAAAGACACUGCUUCAUCAUCUUCCUACUUCCCACCAGCCCCAGAGCAGGUCACUGCCACAGUCACCACGAACACACCCCGGGAGGCGAUGCUGUCCGCAUGGAUGCAAACCAAUGAGAAAAACCUACAAAGAGUCUUUUUCCAGGGACCGAGUGAUCAGAACAACCACAGGGGAAGGAAAGCACACCUAACAGAGCUAAUGAGAUUACAACAGGCACCGUGGGUUCCUUGCCAGGACACUUGUAAUCAUGCCACAUUUUUAAUCCCUGCUAGCAAGAGACAAACAAUUGUGCAUAAUUACUUACAAGCACAAGUUAACAACUGUCUUCAUGGUAAACACAGAUACUCAAUUGCUUCAACUGCCCAAAACUCCCAAGUCAGGGUCAUCCUGUGCCAGUAGUCAUCACUCGUCGGUGCUUGGGAUAUUGAAGACUCAGGUCUUGAAAACUUAUUCCCUAACAAGUGCCCCAGGCAAACGAGUUUGGCUCUCCCACCAGUGCCACACUCCCAGCCAUGACAGAUUAGCACCAAGAGAUCUGAAAGCCCAGAACACGCUGCUCUGCCCAGGGCCUCGUGCCAGCGGGUCCAGCAGGCCCACAGGGCACCCCAGCUGCCCCGUGCAGGACUGCCAGCACAUCAGAGAGCUUUUGGGAGCCUGAACACAUCCCCCAGCCUCCAGUCAAGGUGCACUGCAACUCCACAGGCUGCCAGCCACAAGAAGACAAGUGUUACUCCCAGGAGCUGUAAUGCCUCGAAGGUAAAUCUUCAGAACGUGAAGAAAUACUAAAUGUAUAUUUUGUCUGCACAGUUACUUGAAGAAAAAGUGUUUUGUCAGAAUUUGUUAUCUACCUGAAAACAGCUAGAAAUGUCAGCUUUAAAAAUAGUCUUCGAGCAGAAAUAAAGAAAAACUGUGGACCAGAGGUUUACCUUCAAUAUCUCCACUAAAUAAAGGAAGAUGUUAGCAUGGAAUUAUAAUUUUUUAUCUCCAUAAACUAUUUUCCCUCACUUUGAAAUUCCCUUGUGGUAUUCCAAGUCACUAAGGAGUCCCCAAGAAGCUUCAAAUGCUACAUGAUACACUGUCUGCAAAACCCAGGUGACACAUGGGAUGUCUCCUCUGGGCUGUCUUUAAUAAGCUGAGAAGGACUGUAGCAAAUCCAGAGGGAGAACCAUAGGGACAGGCAGGAAAAGGAUUGAGCUGAACUUUUUAUUUUUUAUUUCAUUAAAACUGAUGUAGGGGCAGAGUUUCUAGACCUCACCUAGUAGGCCAGUCAGUACUAAAGGCUUUUCUUAAUCCACAGGUGGGUUUUGAAGUUCAACUUCUGAAAUUUGGAAGGAUUUGCUACUUGUUUUGGGAAUGUUGCAACAUUGGUUUGGCCAAAGCAUGACCUUGACUUUACUGAUUAUUGGGAAUACAAGGAAAAUGAAGCUAAAAAUGUUGAAAGCAAAUUUUAAAAGUGAUUCUCAGAAAAAACAGAAGAGAGAAAUAACACGGAGAAGUCAUUCCUUAAGAGGAUAACAGAGAUGACUCAGUUGUCUGCUGAGCUGGGUCAAUGAAAAUGAUUAAGAAACAGCCUCACAAAUCAAUGGAAAGGUUAUCUGGAAAUGCCCAAGAAAGUAAAACUAACACAGAAGAGAGUCCUAUUACUUCCCAUUAUUGCUAUAAAGAAAUGUUGUACAGCCAGGUUAAUGAUACAUUUUUCCUCCUCGUUACAGUCUUUGACACAAAAAUAAAGUGUCUCCCUGCACUGGGAAUUGUU